rnacentral:rRNA from 1 species
UACGUAGGGGGGCUAGCGUUGUCCGGAUUUAUUGGGCGUAAAGAGCGUGUAGGCGGCCUGGUAGGUCUGCUGUGAAAACUCGAGGCUCAACCUCGAGAUGUCGGCGGAAACCAUCUGGCUAGAGUCCGGAAGAGGAGAGUGGAAUUCCUGGUGUAGCGGUGAAAUGCGCAGAUAUCAGGAAGAACACCUAUGGCGAAGGCAGCUCUCUGGGGACGGUACUGACGCUGAGACGCGAAAGCGUGGGGAGCGAACAGG